ensembl:lncRNA
GCCGAAACUGAGUCACAUCCGAAUUUUUUUUUUGUACCCGGAAUCGAACUCAGGAACUUGUGCUUGUCAGGCAGGUGACAGAACCACUGAGAUAAAUCCCCAGCCCACAUAUGCAUUUUUGAAUAAAUCAUGGUACCAUUUAUUUGACUCUCUUUAGAAUGAUAAAUCUUGGCCUUGGAGGUAAGGUCAUUUCUUCAAACUGAUAUUUGUUAAUUGCUGGGUAGCAUAAUGGCCCGGGCCACGCCCAUGGCACGGUGAGGUCUCAGAGGUGUCUUGCAGCCCCACCCCCACCUGACGCUCUCAAAGCUGCAGCGACCGGCUCCGUUGAGACAAGACAAGCAGCUUGGGGUUCCUGCGGCCGUCCCGGGCCAUGCCCACGGCACGGUUGUGUACUGAGUGUGAGUUGGGGGCAAUCAGCAGCCCAGGGGCUAUUUUACGUCCAGUGUGAGGAAAAGUUCAGUUGAAGAGAUCCUAGUAGAUGACCUCACUUCUUUAUGAUGACACUUUGCUCAGAACCCUGUUGCCAAGCAACACAUAGCACCACUGACUGAUGCCUGCUCACUUGUCUGGAGACACAGGACAUGUCCCACUCCAGGAUGAAAAGGAGUCAAGCCUGACUCUGGAUACUCAAGCUUGCUUAGAGCUUUUGAAGAUGGAUGUAAGGGAAUCCAUGGUCAACCAUCUUGUGCGAUCCUUGCUUCAAGGGAACUGUUUGUUCCUGCACAAGUUUUUGCAAAACUACCAAGAUUUGGGACCAUGCAGCAGGAGCUGGAUCUGCUGUUGAAAAGUGCCACUCUACCAUCUUGGGUACAUGGCUGGAAAAGUAUCCAGACCAGUUCCAGCAGCCUCCGGAGUUCACGUGCCUCAAGCAGCUGGUGGAGUACGUGCAGCUGCACAUGCCUGGCUCAGACCUGGAGCACUGUACGCACCUUCUACUGGCCCAGCUGAAAGACACACAGACUAUGAAGGCCAAGCCUGGGGGUGAGGAGGCCUGGGAUGUGUCCAUCAAAGCACAUGAGGAAGCCCAGGCAGCAGCACCAGUGCCAGGUCCAACUGGAGAGCGAGAGGCAGCUCCAGCAGCAGCCUCUAAGCCAGCAGUAGAUCCACCACCCAUUCUGGGGCAAGAGUUGGCUGCAGUGCCAGCUCCAUGGCCAGGUGCACCUAGAAAGCUACCUUGGGUUAUUCCAAAGAAGAAGCAGACUGGAACUGAGACUCUGGAGCUGGAGCCAGCCACAGCAGGCCCACUUCUACCAGUGGUGCCAUCCUGGCCUUCACCUAUGACCAUGAAAACCAGGGAUUCCACCUGGUUGCAGCAGGGCAAAAAGGCCAAGGAGCAGCUGCCGGCCUCCAUCUGCACCACUGUCAUUCAUCUCCCAAGUGUGUCAUCAGCACCGUCCUCAGGCACUACAUCAUGAAAGCCUCAGGCCAUGCCCAGGUGGUGGAGCACAGGGUCUCCAGGGACCCUCAGGAGUGCCAAAUUCUGAGGAACCGUGCCUCUCUCUCUGGGCUGUGAAUCAGCGUUAUCCAGUGCCUGAUGGAAACCUGGCAAGACUUCUCCAGGUGGCUGCACCUCUCCAUUGGAGCUCCAGGUGAACCAGCACCAUAAACUGGACAAAAUAUGUGCAGAACUUGUCUGUGAAGGUAGAAAUGUCUAGAAUGUAUUUUAUAAAGUUCCCC